rnacentral:ncRNA from 1 species
ACCGAAGUUUCCCUCAUGAUAGCUAGAACAGUAAUGAAGCUGUUAUAUUCGGUAAAGUGAAUGAUUAGAGGAAUUGUAGGAUGAAACGUCUUUAAUCUAUUCUCAAAUUUUCAAUGAGUAUGACAUCCUUGCUUGCUUGAAUGAAAUGUAAACAUUGAUUGUUUACUUCAGGUGGACGAUUUUUGGUGGACUGGUACUGUAAGAUGAACCAAACGUUGAGCUAGAGCUUAGGU